CCAAUAGCGUAUAUUAAAGUUGUUGCAGUUAAAAAGCUCGUAGUUGAAUUUCGGGAUUGACACAUCGGUCGUGCCUUAAGGGGUGUGAACUGGUGUAGUCAAUUUCUCACCUUCUGGAGAACCGCGAUGUCCUUAAUUGGGUGCCGCGAGGAACCAGGACCUUUACUUUGAAAAAAUUAGAGUGUUUAAAGCAGGCAUUUUUGCUUGAAUACAUUAGCAUGGAAUAAUAAAAUAGGACGGCAUGAUUCUAUUUUGUUGGUUUCUAGGAUCACCGUAAUGAUUAAUAGGGAUAGAUGGGGGCAUUAGUAUUCAAUUGUCAGAGGUGAAAUUCUUGGAUUUAUUGAAGACUAACUACUGCGAAAGCAUUUGCCAAGGAUGUUUUCAUUAAUCAAGAACGAAAGUUAGGGGAUCGAAGACGAUCAGAUACCGUCGUAGUCUUAACCAUAAACUAUGCCGACUAGGAAUCAGACGAUGUUAAUUUUUUAAUGACUCGUUUGGCACCUUACG
rnacentral:rRNA from 1 species